rnacentral:snRNA from 1 species
AGCUUUGCGCAGUGGCAGUAUCGUAGCCAAUGAGGUUUAUCCAAGGCGCGAUUAUUGCUAAUUGAAAAAUCCCACUGGCUGGAGAGGUCCUAACUCUGUCCCUCCCGUUGGGCAUGUAGCUCUGCUGCACUGACCAUUUCCACCCAGCUGUCUCUGCACCCUGGAACCUGUGAAAGAAACUACCAGGUCAAUGCUU